UACGGGGGGGGCAAGCGUUGUUCGGAAUUACUGGGCGUAAAGGGCGCGUAGGCGGCCUACUAAGUCGGACGUGAAAUCCCUCGGCUCAACCGAGGAACUGCGUCCGAUACUGGCAGGCUGGAAUCCGGGAGAGGGAUGUGGAAUUCCAGGUGUAGCGGUGAAAUGCGUAGAUAUCUGGAGGUACACCGGUGGCGAAGGCGGCAUCCUGGACCGGUAUUGACGCUGAGGCGCGAAAGCUAGGGGAGCAAACGGG
rnacentral:rRNA from 1 species